GCCUCUCGCCACAAGCAUGACAGAAUGUCCGCAUGCACCUGAAUCUUUAUGAGUCAGAUUUGUAGACCAUGGUCAAAAUUGGAUGGUGUAGAAGGCGGAAUCUUCUCUGUUAUAUUCUUAAAUUUUAUAGCAUUAAUGACUGGUUUAUUCACUAAUUUGAAGUACAGGAGGCCUAAGUGACUGGCUUUCAUCCGUUAUGUGUCUUCCUUUUGUUACUGAAUUGAGCAAUAUUUUGAGGCCAACGGAACCAUUAGAUCAUGAUGGAGGGGUGCAUGCAUGGGGAGCUGGACAAGGUGUACAACAGAGGUAGUCAAGGACGCAAGGUCUACAUACUCCUCUGCUAUGGCUAAUACUCCGUAAU